GCAGCCCUGCAGCUCCUCAUCCUCCUCUGGCUUCUGGGACAAGCUGUCAGCAUCGCCCUCUGGAACAGAGCAGCGCCCACCGGGGGAUGACCCGCCCUAUCUGCCCACCUGUCGCCUCACCCUGCACUUGGACCCCACCCGAGACUCGUGUCCCCCUCCUGAAAGCACCUGUUGGCCUGGGUCCUGCUCCGGGAAACAGCUCAUCCAGAGCCCAGGGGGCCUUCACCUGCACACGCCGGCCCUCCUGUCGAGGUCUGACACUGCACCUGCUGCUCCAGGAACGUUCCAGGCACGCUCCCCCAGCCCUCCUCCAUCCACCAGCACGAGCGCCCUUCCCACGGCCCGUGAGCAGCCCCCAUGGCAGCUCCCCCCACACCAGCCCCAGCCUGGGGCCCAGCGAGAGCAAGUGCUGGGGCGGCCACGGUGGCGUUCG